GCCGGGAUUACAGGCGUGAGCCACCGCGCCCGGCCGACAUCAUUUGUAUUUUUCAGGACUGACCAAAAUUCACAACGAGAAGGGGGUUGCCUACUACAAUGGGAAUUUCUCCAGACAAGUUAAAAAAACAAAGGCUUCAACAUCAGAAGCUGCCCUAUACAUUGUGGGAUAUUGAGCAGUGUAUCUGGUCCCUAUUCACUAGAUGCCU
rnacentral:lncRNA from 1 species